rnacentral:rRNA from 1 species
AUACGAACCGGACAAACGUUAUUCGGAAUUAUUGGGCUUAAAGGGUGCGUAGGCGGCGCGGUAAGUGAGGUGUGAAAGCCCACGGCUCAACCGUGGAAUUGCGCUUCAUACUGCCGUGCUCGAGGGAGACAGAGGUAAGCGGAACUGAUGGUGGAGCGGUGAAAUGCGUUGAUAUUAUCAGGAACACCGGUGGCGAAAGCGGCUUACUGGGUCUCUUCUGACGCUGAGGCACGAAAGCUAGGGUAGCGAACGGGAUUAGAAACCCCAGUAGUCC